UCCAUUAAAGAGGCGUGCCGAAACAAGUAAACAGAGGCCUGCAAAGCGGUUCAAGCCUCCAAUGGUGGGAAACAAACAAGUGUCUCCGCUGGUGAUAAGGUCUCCGCUAGUGACAGGUUCUCCAAUGAUGAGGUUGGUUGUGUCACCUGUGGUGAUGGGGCCAAGGUCGACGUCACGCAGCCCGACAAGUCCUAUAUUGGAACCACAUGCUCCAGAGAGAUCCCCAUCCCAUUCCACAUCGCCAUCGCAAGGUUUUCAGUUAGCUACAAAAGCUAUAUUUUCUUCUGGAUUAUAUAAUCUUUACAUAUGAGAUGGCACAAAGAUAUAUGAUAUAACUGAAUUGAGAGUGUAGGCCACUAGUUCACAAAAGCCUCCAAAUUGCAGUUAUAUUGUUUGAGUUCUGCAACGUUAAUUGCAGUGUCACCUGACAAUGAUAUUACGUCUCUUUUUCCUUAAUGUUACAUGUAGUACAUGAUCAUUGUAUUUGUGCUUACUAUACUGAAAGGUGCAAUUACCAUGGAUGUAUUUCUGAAUACCAACUGGGAAGAGUUCUUUAUAACUUGUGCAAAGUGUGACUGGCUGGACAACAAACAUGUGGUCUUUGGGCUAUUGGAGGCGAGGACAUGUUGCUGCAUCUGUUGGCUUCAUAUCUGAUUAGCUCAACGCUAGGGAAAGAAUAAAGUGUGAGUUAGCUGAAUUAAGGCUGAUGUAGACUGUGUAGACGAUGAAUUAAGCCAGAUGAUGAAUUUCGAUGGUUGAUGGAUCUGGAGAAAA